CAAUUCAAUAAUUGCUUCUAUUAUCAAUAAUUGUCCUGCUUUAUAACUUAAGCUUUUCAAAAAUUCGAAUAUCAUUAAUAUUGCGGCAAUGAUGACAUAGAUCAUAUGCUGUAAUCGAUAAAUAUAUGUAUAUGUGUAAUAUAAAUAUAUGUAAAUAUAUGUGCACACAUACAUACGCACGCACACACGCACGCACGCACGCACGCACAACGUAAGAAGUACAAAAUAUGAAUUCGGGCGUGUGCUGAAGAAAGAAAAAAGAAAAAUAACACGAGAAAGAAAUAGAAGGUUCGGGGAAAAGAUGAGGCUCCACUCAACCAAAGAUUACACAAUCCCCGCCUCAACCUAACCUUUCUUCCCCACCUCUGUUAUGCGCGCGCGUGAACAACGAAGGUAGGAGUCGAAUACGCGAGUAAGGCAAGUUAAGGCAGGUAAAGCAAACAGGCAAGGCAGACAGGCAGGCAAGCAGGCAAGCAGACAGGCAGGCAAGCAAGCAGCCGACCAGCAGGGCACAAUCUGUUGAAGAAUUGACAGGACCUACUCAAAAGUUUAAAAUACCCUAUUGGACCGUUAAACACGAACCUGAUCCACGUGGCGGACAGAUGCAAAAGAUACGGCGGCGGUUUUUGAAUUUGAAGUCGUAAAAGGAAUAUUUUCGUUACUUUUAAUGCUAUCUACAGCUUCGAUAUAUAAAAUUCUCGAUAUAUUA